CCUACGGGAGGCAGCAGUGAGGAAUAUUGGUCAAUGGGCGCGAGCCUGAACCAGCCAAGUAGCGUGAAGGAUGACUGCCCUACGGGUUGUAAACUUCUUUUAUAAAGGAAUAAAGUGAGGCACGUGUGCCUUUUUGUAUGUACUUUAUGAAUAAGGAUCGGCGAACUCCGUGCCAGCAGCCGCGGUAAUACGGAGGAUCCGAGCGUUAUCCGGAUUUAUUGGGUUUAAAGGGAGCGUAGAUGGGUUGUUAAGUCAGUUGUGAAAGUUUGCGGCUCAACCGUAAAAUUGCAAUUGAUACUGGCAGCCUUGAGUACAGUUGAGGUAGGCGGAAUUCGUGGUGUAGCGGUGAAAUGCUUAGAUAUCACGAAGAACUCCGAUUGCGAAGGCAGCUUACUAAACUGCCACUGACAUUGAUGCUCGAAAGUGUGGGUAUCGAACAGGAUUAGAUACCCUUGUAGUC
rnacentral:rRNA from 1 species